rnacentral:rRNA from 1 species
GACGAACCGUGCGAACGUUAUUCGGAAUCACUGGGCUUAAAGCGCGUGUAGGCGGGGUGGCACGUCGGUCGCUGAAAGCCCCCGGCUCAACCGGGGAAGGGGCGCCGAUACGACCACCCUGGAGGGACGUAGGGGGACCUGGAAUUCCCGGUGUAGCGGUGAAAUGCGGUAGAUAUCGGGAGGAACACCUGUGGCGAAAGCGGCUCACUGGACCACAACUGACGCUGAGGCGCGAAAGCUAGGGGAGCAAACAGG